rnacentral:lncRNA from 1 species
ACUCGUAUCAUAAAUUUUUGGCUGUUAGAUUGCAUUUGGACCGCCCAGAUCUGAUAAAAAACCACUACUUAAAUCUUUCUUACGGUCGGAUUCAUUCUCAGCCAUUCGAUCACACUAUAAAUUGAAUUCUAGCCAUUGGAUGGCAUCUUUUAUCUCCUUAACAAAGUCAGAAAUGCUGUCAACCGUCGGAUCUCGCAUCGGAUCGAAUCAGGCC